rnacentral:rRNA from 1 species
GACGAACGCUGGCGGCGUGCUUAACACAUGCAAGUCGAACGGAAAGGCCCUGCUUUUGUGGGGUGCUCGAGUGGCGAACGGGUGAGUAACACGUGAGUAACCUGCCCUUGACUUUGGGAUAACUUCAGGAAACUGGGGCUAAUACCGGAUAGGAGCUCCUGCUGCAUGGUGGGGGUUGGAAAGUUUCGGCGGUUGGGGAUGGACUCGCGGCUUAUCAGCUUGUUGGUGGGGUAGUGGCUUACCAAGGCUUUGACGGGUAGCCGGCCUGAGAGGGUGACCGGCCACAUGGGGACUGAGAUACGGCCCAGACUCCGACGGGAGGCAGCAGGGGGGAAUAUUGCACAAGGGGCGGAGGCCUGAGGCAGCAACGCCGCGUGCGGGAGGACGGCCUUCGGGUUGUAAACCGCUUUCGCCGGUGACGAAGCGUGAGUGACGGUAAUGGGGAAAGAAGCACCGGCUAACUACGU